CCUACGGGAGGCAGCAGUGAGGAAUAUUGGUCAAUGGGCGCGAGCCUGAACCAGCCAAGUAGCGUGAAGGAUGACUGCCCUACGGGUUGUAAACUUCUUUUAUAAAGGAAUAAAGUGAGGCACGUGUGCCUUUUUGUAUGUACUUUAUGAAUAAGGAUCGGCUAACUCCGUGCCAGCAGCCGCGGUAAUACGGAGGAUCCGAGCGUUAUCCGGAUUUAUUGGGGUUAAAGGGAGCGUAGAUGGGUUGGUAAGUCAGUUGUGAAAGUUUGCGGCUCAACCGUAAAAUUGCAAAUGAUACUGGCAGCCUUGAGUACAGUUGGGGGAGGCGGAAUUCGUGGUGUAGCGGUGAAAUGCGUAGAUAUCGCGAAGAACACCGAUUGCGAAGGCAGCCUACUAAACUGCAACUGACAUUGAUGCUCGAAGGUGUGGGUAUCAAACGGGAUUAGAUACCCCAGUAGUC
rnacentral:rRNA from 1 species